rnacentral:lncRNA from 1 species
GUUUAUUCAGGAGUUCUGCUCCCUUUACUAUAAGAGUCCACAGUUACACAUAAAUUAGUCUGUAUAAAUAUGAACUGCACUUGAAAGAGUUGUUCCAAAAAUGUCCAUAUGCUGAAAUCUGACAGUCAUUCAACCAGUGGAAGCAAAGACAUAGCGCUGUCAUUCUUCACAGGGGGAACAAAGGGACAUGCUAAGUUACUACAUCUCUUCUUCGUUGACAUUGAACCCUUAUUCUGGACAAAGCAAUCCAGAGGAAGAUAAAUAAAAAAAAGGCUUUGAUUUUUCAAAAUAGUGACUUUGACUUGGCCGGAAAAGAAAAAUAAAGCAAGCCAGUACCAUGUUACCACAUGCCAGGAGACAGCGCUAAUCCAGCAGGAGUGUUGCAGCCUGAGCUGAGUAUUUCCUCCGCGCAUCAGAAGAAGGCAACUACGUAUAUUUCACCUGAGAACUGUAAGAAUAAAUACACUGCAGCACAUCUAAACUUCAUUUCCCACUAAAGAUACAUGAAGUACAUUUCCAUGCAAUCUUUUCUUGACUUACUCAGGCCACAGGACUGUGCAAACCUAAAAGGUACUGCUCAUCAUGAAGAACAGCACAGAGGGUUUUCCAAAGAAAACCAUAAAGAAGCAGUGUACCUUUACAGAGCAGUGUUAAACCACAAAGGUUGAAAUAAAAUCUGUGCUCUAUUAGGUUUUGUUGUUCA